rnacentral:misc_RNA from 1 species
UGUCUGACGCUAGGGUCUCAUU